UCCCCGCAGCUCUUCCUCCUCGGGUCCUAGAGCGCGGCUUCCCUCGCCUGGCGCCCGGGGUGGGCGGCGCGGGCGGCGCACCUGGGGGCGGGGAAGUCCCCCUGCCCCGUGACACAUCUUAGAAGCUGGGAUACAGCGGUGGAACAAAUUUUAAACAUUUAAACACACUGUGAUACUCUAAGAUUAAAGAACAUAAAAGGUAGUUUCUGGCAUGAAGAGGAUGGGGAUUUUUUAUUCAAAAAUGAAAAGCUGAGAUACUCCUGAAACCAUUGUUGCACUAUAUGCUAACUUGGACGUAAAUUAAACA